rnacentral:tRNA from 1 species
GGCGCAUUCGUCUAGUGGUCCAGGACGCCGCCCUCUCAAGGCGGAGAUCACGGGUUCGAAGCCCGUAUGCGCCA